rnacentral:rRNA from 1 species
CAGUCGCCGCGGUAAAACGUAGGUGGCAAGCGUUGUCCGGAAUUAUUGGGCGUAAAGCGCGCGCAGGCGGCCUAUCCAGUCCGUCUUAAAAGUUCGGGGCUCAACCCCGUGAUGGGAUGGAAACUAGUAGGCUAGAGUAUCGGAGAGGAAAGCGGAAUUCCUGGUGUAGCGGUGAAAUGCGUAGAUAUUAGGAAGAACACCAGUGGCGAAGGCGGCUUUCUGGACGAAAACUGACGCUGAGGCGCGAAAGCCAGGGGAGCGAACGGGAUUAGAUACCCCUGUAGUCCCUGUCUCUUAUACA